UAAUAAUUACUGAGUUACAACUGACAACAGUUCCAAAUAAUUUAUUAUGGGUACAAUAUGCCAAUAAAAAGAAUAUUGGCAAACAUUUAUAGAAACUACAAUUUCCAUUUCUGCCGUGAAGACCUUCCCAAAGGCUCUGGCCGGCUCUGUUCUGUUGAACUGGACUUCUAGCAGCGGGCGUGGGAAACUCACUCCAGGACGGCGCAGCUUCUCUCAGCCCUGAUGGGGAGACGGGGUCUGGGCCUGCGCUUCAACUGCAGCCCCGCAGGAUUCACGACUGCCUAGGGCUGCUGGAGGACCAGGUGGGUUAGCCCACCCCAAACCUGUGUCCCAGUGCCUGAGGCUGUGAAUGCAAACUUGCCCAAGAGGUUUCCUGGGAAAGGAUUGUCGGAAAACCAGACAGAGACAAGGCUUAUCAGCCUGACUCAAUGCCAAAUGCCAGGGUCAGCAGGGACACCUGAUGCACGAGGGCACACACACUGCUGGCCACUCCGCCCUCAGCUCUGGCCUGGCCCUCAGCCCUCACAUGCUGCCGUCAGAGGCCUGAGCAAGGUACUGAAAUGGAGGAAAUGUACACAUUGAAGAGCAGUCUCACUGCCAUCUCUGCUGUGCGGUGAGAGCACACGACUUCAAUUCAGAAAACAUUUCAGCGUGCUGCCACAAGCCGGGCCUGUGUCCCACCAGCUCCCUUCAAAAAGCACGGCUCAGCCCAGCUUUCCAUGCUGGGGGCUGACUUCAGGCCACAGCCACAGUGCCAUGGCCCUUGGUAGGCAUGUCACUAGGGUGGGGACUUCAGAGGACACUGGGUCACUCCUUACGGACCGGAAGCUGGAUAACACCCAGUUAGCUGGAGCAGCAGAGGAGGAAAAUGGUGACCACCUCCUUGUAGUCAAGAGGAAUUUGUUGAACACAGCUUCUUUUGCAGGAAUGACUUCAUUCUACCACCCUUUGCUGCCAUAUCAGGACGUCGGGAAGCAAAGAGACGUGUCGGCUUGAUCAGCACACAGGUCAUUCCUAGAGAGAUCAGCUCAGUCACCGAGCAGGCAGGAACAGGCACUCUGGAGGGGAGAGGCAGGCCCAGGAGGAUGAGUCAAGGCAGGGAUUGAAACUGCAGGAUGAGGGAGUCAGCGCCUGGGAACCCACAGGGCGGAGUUAGAUAAGAAGAAAUGCCCGCGGAAUCUGCAGUUUAAAUGGAGCCUGGGGUUUGUAAAGAGGAGUCAGGCGUUCUUUACCUUGUCAGUUCCGACUGCUUUGUGCACAGCUGACUCAGAGACCGGGUGGGGCUGCCCUCUUAGGUGAAACCAGACCGAUUAGAAAGUCGGCUGGGCCCUGCAGAUCCUGCCGGCCACACCCUCCCAGCAUUAAGGGUAUGCCUCAUCUGUGAAACCAACUCUCCCCCGUGAAGGAGAAGUGACAUGUCCAUUUUAAAGAAAAUCACUUCAUGGUUGAGGAGGCAUGAUUUUUGCAUGCAACAGAGGCAGUGUAGAAGAAGUUCUUAAUCAACCUUUGUGCCAAGAA
rnacentral:lncRNA from 1 species